rnacentral:rRNA from 1 species
UGACGCAGCGAUGCCGCGUGAGUGAUGAGGCCUUCGGGUCGUAAAGCCCUUUCGAGCGGGAAGAAUAGGUCGGGGCCUAAUAUCUCCGGGGUGUGACGGUACCGGUGAAGGAAGCCGCGGCUACGUCCGCGGCAGCCGUCGUGCGAAAACGGAGGGCGUUAGCGGUAUUUAGAAGUAUUGGUAGGUUUGGGGGUGAAGGCGGCCGGUCAACUCUGAUGUGGCAACCCGGACUUUAACCUCGGAAUGGCGUUGGAAACUGUUUGGUUUGAGUUCGGGAGAGGAAAUUGGAAUUUCUGGUGUGGAGGUGAAAUUCCUAGAUAUCCGGACGAACACCGGUGGGGAACUCAGGUUCCUGGACCGACGCUGACGCUGAGACGCGAAACCGUGGGAAGCAAACAAAAAUACAUACCCUGAUAGU